rnacentral:rRNA from 1 species
GACAGAGGGUGCAAACGUUGUUCGGAAUUACUGGGCGUAAAGCGCGUGUAGGCGGCUUCGCAAGUCGGGUGUGAAAUCCCACGGCUCAGCCGUGGAAGUGCAUUCGAAACUGCAAGGCUAGAGUCCUGGAGAGGAAGGUGGAAUGCUUGGUGUAGAGGUGAAAUUCGUAGAUAUCAAGCGGAACACCGGUGGCGAAGGCGACCUUCUGGACAGUGACUGACGCUGAGACGCGAAAGCGUGGGGAGCAAACAGG